rnacentral:sRNA from 1 species
UUCCCAUUCCUGUCCCCCCCUAUGGGCUUUGUCCAGAGCCAGUUACUUUGUCCCUCUUUUUUUCUCCCUUUGCCUUUCUCGUCCUGUUGAGACUGGUCAUCCUUUUCCCAGGGCUCGGGUGCUUCUGGUUCCAGACAAUACCUUCCCCUUGGGCUAUUACCUCAUCCCUUUCACAGGGAUUGUGGGACUGCUGGUUUUGGCCAUGGGAGCAGUAAUGGUGAGUAGCUGAGGGAACAUGAUGGGAAGCACUGAGGCCUGUGAGGCCAGACUGGAUCUGGAGUUGGGAGAUGGGAGUGGCUUGUCCUAGAUUGUCUAGUUUUGUUCCUAAGCCUUGUCCAUCCACCCCCGCUUCCCCCAGAUAGCUCGUUGUAUCCAGCACCGGAAACGGCUCCAGCGGAAUCGACUUACCAAAGAGCAACUGAAACAGAUUCCUACACAUGACUAUCAGAAGGGAGACCAGUAUGAUGUCUGUGCCAUUUGCCUGGAUGAAUAUGAGGAUGGGGACAAGCUGCGGGUACUCCCCUGUGCUCAUGGUGAGGCCCUCACUGCCUGCCCAUGCCCCUCUGCCACCAGCAGCCACCAGGUGCUUCACCUUGUUCCUCUCUGCAGCCUACCACAGCCGCUGCGUGGACCCCUGGCUCACUCAGACCCGGAAGACCUGCCCCAUUUGCAAGCAGCCUGUUCAUCGGGGUCCU